rnacentral:misc_RNA from 1 species
UACAGAUCGACAUUCACUGGCCCAA